rnacentral:rRNA from 1 species
UACAGAGGGGGCAAGCGUUGUCCGGAAUUACUGGGCGUACAGCGCGCGCAGGCGGUUGCCGACGUGCCGUGUGACAAACGGGGGCUCAACCCCCGAGGGCCACGGUAAACGGGGCGACUGGAGGUAGGGAGAGGGAUGUGGAAUGCCCGGUGGAGCGGUGAAAUGCGUAGAGAUCGGGAGGAACACCAGAGGCGAAGGCGGCGACCUGGACAGGUACUGACACUCAACUACGAAAGCGUGGGGAGCAAACAGG